rnacentral:rRNA from 1 species
CCCUUAGACGUUCUGGGCCGCACGCGCGCUACACUGACGGAGCCAGCGAGUAUAAACCUUGGCCGAGAGGUCUGGGAAAUCUUGUGAAACUCCGUCGUGCUGGGGAUAGAGCAUUGUAAUUAUUGCUCUUCAACGAGGAAUUCCUAGUAAGCGCAAGUCAUCAGCUUGCGUUGAUUACGUCCCUGCCCUUUGUACACACCGCCCGUCGCUACUACCGAUUGAAUGGCUUAGUGAGGCUUCCGGAUUGGUUUAGAGAAGGGGGCAACUCCAUCUUGGAACCGAGAAGCUAGUCAAACUUGGUCAUUUAGAGGAAGUAAAAGUCGGAACA